CCACCCUGCAAGGAUCAAUGUGUUCAGAUCAUGGAAGGAAAGAUUUUAAGGCAAAGAAGACACCCAGAAAGGUUUUUCCACCCAGGCAUCUGGUCCCAAUCAUCGUCAGUUCUGAUGAUGUCACAUACAUGGCAAGUCCACAACAUCUUAAAAUUGUCAUGUUUUUUUCUUUGCCGUUUUUCUGUACUCUUUAAAGUACAAAUGCUCUUUUUAAUUGCUCUAUUGUUUUAUUAUUUUUUGUACGUUUCUGUUAAAAGGAUCCAGGACUAGUUGAACAUGUUGGACUAAAUAUGUUGCAAUGUUCCUAUUACCUAAAGAAUUGCAGUUUGUGAUACGCCAAAACACAUAAUUACUUCAAAAAUGUACAUCUUUUGAUAUAUUUUUCACCCAUGGAGGUCACCAUUUUUUCACCGAUGGGUUGAUGACACGUUUUGGUCCAUUCUGUACUGGAGUCUACAGAGUAAACACAGGAAGGCUAACUUUACCAUUGUAGUUGUUUAUCAUAUGGUGUUUGACCGGUGUCAUUUUAGAUAAUGCCAUACUGUGUCACUAUUGGCUGUAAU